GACUUGUCACGUGGCACAAGAAAUAUUCACUCAUAAAACCGUAAUUAACUUUUCAAAACCAUACCAAAACACUUUAUAAAACCUAAAAAGUUUAAAGAAAACACAAGACAAAUGACAUUCAAAACAGGAGAUAAACAAGAUAAAAGGUUGAGACGGUAAUUUAGGCAGUCAGUCGGUGUUUGUAGUACACGUCUCUCAAUUCUCUGCGUGAGGGAACUUUUCUGUUUUUGUGCGCCCACGCCUACCCUGUGGUCGCCAGGGAUGCUACACAGCUUAAAUCUUCCCUGGUGGGUGAUAAGGAAGGUGAGGAUGCUGCCACUGGACUCGUGGGGGCAAGAAAGAGUGAAAAACAAGCUACCAGGGCAUCGUGGCUAUUAGGGCAGCUUUUCCCUGUACCGAGCACCGCCAAGCAGCACCAGAGAGGCACGAAUAUGUAAGGGAGGAAGGGAGUACAAGCAAUGCAAUGGGUGACUUCCAAGCACUUACUGGCCUCCCAGGACCUGCAGUGGAACCAGAAACACUCCCUUUCUGGCGACAUUCACAGUUGUCACCAGUGCCACUCACUGCUGGAAGAUUGUGUCACUGUAUGCUGCCAAAGGUGUGAGUGAAGAGGAAAGAUGUAUUUGAGAUGCCAACAAGUCAAUUUGUUCUAGCCGCUUUUUAAUGUUUGGUGGGAAGCCUUGAGAAAAAGGCAGUCCCUGAGCAGCGUGUGCCACCAUGACGCAAGAUUGGCGUUCAUUGACUAUUAUUGUAACAGUACAGUAUUUUCAUUACAUCAGAGACCCCUAGGAGUUAAGGAAGGAAGGAGUACAAGCAACACAAUGGUUGACUUGGAAGUACUCACUGGCCUCCUAGGACUGGCAGUGGAACCAGGAACACACUCCCUUUCUGGCAGCAUUGGCAGUUGUCACUUCUGCCACUCAUUGCUGGAAGAUUGUGUCACUGUAUGCUACAAAAGGUGAUAUUCUCUCCGUCUCUCACUCUCUCUCUGACAGGAAGAAGAGGAGUACAAGCAACAUAAUGGGUGACUUGCAAGCAUUCACUGGCCUCCCAGGACCUGCAGUGGAACCAGGAACACUUUCUGGCAGCAUUCACAGUUGUCACCAGUGCCAGUCAUUGCUGGAAUAUUGUCACUGUAUGCUGCAAAAGGUGUUAGAUCUCUCUUUCUCUCUCUCUCUCUCUCUGAUAGGUGUGUGUGUGUGUACUUACCUAUCUAUCUAUCCAUAUGUCUAAACAUAGGAGCUUCAGAAAUUGGGGGCUGUAUAGGGUCAGAUGCAAAAGGUAGAGGAUCAUAGUGUUUUUAGUUUUUUUUCUUUUUAUGGAAUUUGUAUGAUGUAAUUCCAAUUUACUGAAGACUUGUUUUACACGUUAACACUUAUUUUCAUAUUUAACUAUUUUUUUUAUGUCCCAAGUAUUUGAAAACCUAAUUGUCAUGUAUUAUGGAAAUAAAAUGUUACCUGCA